rnacentral:rRNA from 1 species
UACGUAGGCAGCAAGCGUUGUUCGGAGUUACUGGGCGUAAAGGGUGUGUAGGCGGUUCACUAAGUUCGGUGUGAAAUCUCCCGGCUUAACUGGGAGGGUGCAUUGAAAACUGGUGGGCUUGAGUAUGGGAGAGGUAAGCGGAAUUCCUGGUGUAGCGGUGAAAUGCGUAGAUAUCAGGAGGAACACCUGUGGUGUAGACAGCUUACUGGACCAUCACUGACGCUGAAACACGAAAGCGUGGGUAGCAAACGGG